CAGAGACAUCAGUGACAUCAGUGUCUGCUCCAGUGUCAGGCUUCAGGGUUGUUCUCCAGCAACCAGCCACUCUGUGGGAUCAUCAUGGGAAGCUGCACUUCAGGGCUAAAGAAGAAAAGUAAAGGUAAAAUUCCUUUUUCUUAUACCAUUACAGUCUACAUUUAUAUUACUAUUUAUAUUUAUAAUAUUCAGUGCACAUAGUAUAUAAAAACUGUGCGCAAAAUUGUUCUUUCAGGGGAUUUUUCACCAGAUAAUAAAAGCAGAGAUAAUAAGGUAGGCAUCCCUGCAUCAAUACCUUGUCUAUUCCUGUUUCCCAUAUAUCGUCACAGUUAUCACGUUGAGCUUCUCAUGGGACAUUCUGUGCUUUUCUGAUAACCCAGUCAGAGGUUAGAUUUGCAUACUGGAUGAGCAUUAUUGUGAGGCCUCUGUGGUAAAAUAAACUGUUUGCUGAAGCACAUCCAAAAGUGAGCUGGUUGCUGAAGCACUGUAUGGAAAUAUUCAAAUUAUGUGAAACACGUCUUCAGGAAAGAUGACUGACCGUCUCUUAUCUCUUGACAGCCUAACGAGGAUGUAACAUACGCCUCCAUUAACCACAGCACCUCCAAAGGAUCGAGAAGAGCCAGAAUUAACACUGACGAUGAUUGUGACUAUGCCAUAGUUAACGUCCCAGCGGCUCCUCAACCCGACCCUGAGUCCGAGUGCUCGUCCAAAGAGGAAUGUGCAGAUGAUUAUGUUCUGAUGGGAUAAAAAGAAACAAGAGGAAAAGUUCAUUUGGGCUACUGCAAGAUGCAGGACUAGUAAAUCAUAUCACAAACAGAAAAAGAUGCCUAAUAUCCCGUAGUCUCAUGACAAAACUUGUUUGCAGUUGAACAGUCAAGUUAACAGCUGAAUCAAGAUCUAAUCUUGAUCAUCACAGCUGAAAGCCGAAAAAGAACAUUCACACUCGACUGCAGCUGGUUGUGGACGUGUCUAUAGAUGUUUCUUUCCAUUUUUGAGGUAACUUAAUCCAGAACACAACUGUGGGGUUCCUACCUCAAAAAACAAACUUGCAUGUGAUGUCUUUGCUUAAGAAACUCACGAGAAGAUGAACUUUUUUUUUUCAAAUGUUCCGUGAUUCCUGAGACACCAUGAAAUUAACAAAAUACCUGGAAGUAGUCAGUCAAAGGAAGCUGGGCCUGGUGUUCGGACUGGAAUAAAAAGGUUUAAUCAGUUCUGAACAUCUCCAAGAACAGCAACAUCUUCAAAACCGCAUAUUCAUCGGCUUCUGAGAUGCUACAGCUACUAUCAACUGAAUGAAUGAAAACUCAGUGUGACUUUCAAAUUCAUCUAAAUGCACGAGUUGUCUUUGUCUUUAAAGUCAGCAUGUGUGGGACUGGUAAUUACCCCAUAUCACCAAAAUAUACAGCACAAAGUUUAAGAAUUUAUACAGUUUGUGUUUUUUUCAUGCCUGGAUUCAUGAAAAAAAGUGGCAUUAGCACAAAAUCACAAUGAAUAUAGUACUUUCAUGCAGCUGAUGUUUACACAAUACAGUGUUCCCAAAAGAUGCAAACCCAGCAGCUUCUGACAAACUGCUGUUAGUUACACAUUGACCUGAAUGUCUGAGAGACAUAAAGCCACUACACGUAGAACUUUUAAAUUAUUUGAUGGCAUCUGGUUUUUCUUCUGAAAAAAAAUCACCAACAUUGAUUAUCAAGCUCAUUUCUUUUUGCUUUCAAAGGGUGUAUGUGCAACAAAAAUGGUAGAACGACGAGAAGAGAGAAGAAACCCAUAAACAGACAGUAGAUACUAAGGAAGCACGGUGACUGUCUGUUGGCUAGCGUCAGUAUAUCUCUAUGAUUUCCUAUUGCAGAUGAAGGUUUUGAUCUUUGUCUAACAGCUUGUUCACAUUGUUGAAACAGAGCCAAAGCUUUGCUCCACCUUUAAGUUUCACAACCGACCCUCAUGCUUGAACUAUCAACCUUUUAUUAACAAUGCCAGUAAACCCAAACCUAAAAUAUUGCACAACUACUUUCACAAUGAAAUGCCAAAAUGUCAAUAGAACUUGUGCCAUUGUCAAAUUUAUGAUAUGAAUUUACACAGCAUGUAAUUCGUAAGAACUACCGGACACUUCCUGAAUAUGCUAGAAACAUAUGUUCAAGGCUAAAGAAUUGACAUGUUUUGUUGUUUUUUUUGUGUGUGUACAUUGAUGCAUCUGACAGAAUUAUUUAUAUGUUUGACUGGAUCUGUAAGAAAGGGUAGAAUAGUGUCAUUUACUGUAAGUUGAUUUAGUUUCAGUGUAGUUUAAUUGAUUUGUUUUAUUGAUUAAAUGUUUACAGCACAUCGCUUUUGCUCAUUAUUAGAAUCUCAACCUAAUCUCUUAAAAUGUUUAAAAGAGGUCAUAAAAGUAAUGUCUUUGUCACGUUGUCGGCUGCUGCUUUACAGUGGAAAUCAUGUUAAUGCGUUCUCCAUAUUAAAGAGAAUCCAAAUGAGUCAUGUUGAUGUAGACAGAAAUACAUUUGUUAGGCUAAAACAGUUUCCCCUUUUUGUAUACAGAAAUAAAAACUACUGAGAUGAUGCUCAGGCA
ensembl:lncRNA